rnacentral:rRNA from 1 species
GGCCAGACUCCUACGGGAGGCAGCAGUGGGGGAUAUUGCACAAUGGGGGGAACCCUGAUGCAGCGACGCCGCGUGGGUGAAGGAGUGCUUCGGCAUGUAAAGCCCUAUCGGCAGGGAAGAAGCAAGACGGUACCUGACUAAGAAGCCCCGGCUAACUACGUGCCAGCAGCCGCGGUAAUACGGAGGAUGCGAGCGUUAUCCGGAUUUAUUGGGUUUAAAGGGUGCGCAGGCGGAAUGUCAAGUCAGCGGUAAAAUUUCGGGGCUCAACCCCGUCGUGCCGUUGAAACUGGCGUUCUUGAGUGGGCGAGAAGUAUGCGGAAUGCGUGGUGUAGCAGUGAAAUGCAUAGAUAUCGCGCAGAACUCCGAUUGCGAAGGCAGCAUACCGGCGCCCAACUGACGCUGAAGCACGAAAGCGUGGGUAUCGAACAGGAUUAGAUACCCCAGUA